rnacentral:rRNA from 1 species
UAGGGAAUCUUCGGCAAUGGGGGGAACCCUGACCGAGCAACGCCGCGUGAGUGAAGAAGGUUCUCGGAUCGUAAAGCUCUGUUGUUAAGGAAGAACGAGUGUGAGAAUGGAAAGUUCAUGCUGUGACGGUACUUAACCAGAAAGGGACGGCUAACUACGUGCCAGCAGCCGCGGUAAUACGUAGGUCCCGAGCGUUGUCCGGAUUUAUUGGGCGUAAAGCGAGCGCAGGCGGUCAAUUAAGUCUGAUGUGAAAGCCCCCGGCUCAACCGGGGAGGGUCAUUGGAAACUGGUUGACUUGAGUGCAGAAGAGGAGAGUGGAAUUCCAUGUGUAGCGGUGAAAUGCGUAGAUAUAUGGAGGAACACCAAUGGCGAAGGCGACUCUCUGGUCUGUAACUGACGCUGAGGUUCGAAAGCGUGGGUAGCAAACAGG